AAGAGAGCUUGCUCUCUGGGUGACGAGCGGCGGACGGGUGAGUAAUGUCUGGGAAACUGCCUGAUGGAGGGGGAUAACUACUGGAAACGGUAGCUAAUACCGCAUGACGUCUUCGGACCAAAGUGGGGGACCUUCGGGCCUCACGCCAUCAGAUGUGCCCAGAUGGGAUUAGCUAGUAGGUGGGGUAAUGGCUCACCUAGGCGACGAUCUCUAGCUGGUCUGAGAGGAUGACCAGCCACACUGGAACUGAGACACGGUCCAGACUCCUACGGGAGGCAGCAGUGGGGAAUAUUGCACAAUGGGCGCAAGCCUGAUGCAGCCAUGCCGCGUGUAUGAAGAAGGCCUUCGGGUUGUAAAGUACUUUCAGCGAGGAGGAAGGCAUUGUGGUUAAUAACCACAGUGAUUGACGUUACUCGCAGAAGAAGCACCGGCUAACUCCGUGCCAGCAGCCGCGGUAAUACGGAGGGUGCAAGCGUUAAUCGGAAUUACUGGGCGUAAAGCGCACGCAGGCGGUUGAUUAAGUCAGAUGUGAAAUCCCCGAGCUUAACUUGGGAACUGCAUUUGAAACUGGUCAGCUAGAGUCUUGUAGAGGGGGGUAGAAUUCCAGGUGUAGCGGUGAAAUGCGUAGAGAUCUGGAGGAAUACCGGUGGCGAAGGCGGCCCCCUGG
rnacentral:rRNA from 1 species